CAUGUUUAACACAUUCAGCAAAUUUUGUCCUCCUGGCGGAAUCUCAGAGCUCAGCACACUGCAGAAUAAGUAGUCUAAUGCUCUGAAACUUUGAUGCAAAUUAGAAGUGUCAGUAUACCUUUUUAGUUGUCAUUGAGGAAAGCAAAGCUGAAUUUCUCAGGUGCCAGAAUGCAAGUCUUCAUCCCUUAAGACUCUUAGGGCUUAAGAGAAUUCAACUUUGGACAAAUAACCUUCAGUGCUGGAUAAAAUGAUAAACUGAAAACACGUAAUGCAGGUAACGUAAUCACCAUGUCUGAGAAGUGUCUGUGUGCCAGGCACCUUGUUGAUUGUCACAUUAAAAAUAGAAAAUCAAUCAGUCUGUGUAGACAAAACUAAGUACAGGGGAAAGUCCCUUCUACCACAGGUGACACCACACAAGCUUCCCUCGGACCACUUUCCGACAGUCAGCCUCUCUCAAUCCACACAGACCCUCAGACACACUCAUCCCCUUGGCUCUGUCCCAUUGCUUUAGGGCUGACCCCCUCAGGAAGAUGCAACUCACUUCUAUAAAUGCCUACGCCCAGCAGAAGCAAAACUGCUUGGUUUAAGCCCUUUAAGAAGAAAGAAAACACUAAGCAAAGCCAUUGACGAGGGGGAGGUCAGAAGGGCUUCGCAGAGCUUUGCCCCACGCUCUCUCGGCCGGGGCUGAAGCAGGAACCGGCAGCCGGACACACCCUCCAAUGCGAGGCCUAAGCAGGCCUCCUGCCCAGAUCCAGUUUCCCGAGAGACAAGUACCCACUGUCUAUGAUGAAAGAAUUGGAACAGCUUAUCCCACUGCCACUGACGUGAGAACUUCAGCAAUACACCUAAGGUCAUGGAGUUAAGGGCAUAAUCUGAGCUUUUGCAGUGGCUUACGCACGUGAGUAUUAAUCCUUGCAGCAAAGGCAAAUCCUAAAGGAGGACAGUGCUAUUCUCCAUAUAAAAUCUCAAAAUUUCUUGACAAUUACCAUCCUCUCUUGAAAUAGAUCCUCUUGAAAUGUUAACUUGAAAAAAAAAUUAUAAGCCUAAAAUGCAUGUUUCCUCUUUCUCUUCCUCCUUGACUUCAGUGGGUUGUGCAAAGGCUGUCACAUUUUUUUUUCAGGCUAUGCAUACACUACUUCAGGCCUAUUUAUGCAAAUUAUUACAAACAAUACAGAUGCUGCUGUCAGAUUAUAUUGUUGUGUUAAACCUACCAUAGGAUCACAUAGGUUUUAUUUUAAAACACUGAAUAUAAACAUCACUUGAUCCAGACUACUCUGGAGACAAAGUUGAGAUUGCAAAGUUACAGACUGAGCUAAAUUCAUGCAAGCAGCUGUGCACAGAAGUCUGCAAUGCAGUUUUGAGUUGAGUUUCAGAACUGCCUAGUCAUCAUAAGAGAUUUUGGAUUGAUGCAGAUUGAUUAACAGCAUUCUACAAACAACUUUUUUGCUAGAUUCCCAUGAGGAUUACAAUUUCAUUUUCUGAGAGAUGAAAUAGCUGCUAGAAAAAGCCUGUUUUACCCCAAACUCACCAGUGCUUUGGAGGUGAAAAGGGUGAAAAACACAGAAGAAAAUAUAUUCUGUCUUACUCUGAUAUGUAACCACUGGCUUUAACACUGUUCCUUCCCUUCCCUUUUUCCCCUUUCCCCUCCUCUCCUCUCCUCUCCUCUCCUCUCCUUAUUAAAUUUGAAACUUUCCAGCAAAGAUCAGUAUUAGUUGCAUCUAGUGUUUCCCCAUACAAAAGGCUACUAAGAACUGAUUAAAUAUCUGUAAUUAUUUCCAGACUUAAAACCCAAACAGCAACAGGUUCUCUAAUUCAAGCUCCAAAUUAUCUGACAACAAUGACAAAAAGCAAGUCUGGAACAGAAAAAUUCCAGAUACAAAACAGAAAUCAACUGCACUUUGUUUGUUUGUUUGUUUGUUUAUUUUGGGACUUCUUUGAGCACUCCUAUAGACACAAUUAGAAAAAAAAAAAGUAACUGGAAAGAAAUAAGAGUAUGUUAGAAUAAUAUUGCAAUUUCAUGAUUUUAAGACUUUUAAAAUCACAGUCCAUCUACGUCCAGCUAUUGUAAACAAGUUUCUAUCCUGCAAAGUCUCCUUGAACUCACCACCUGUAUGCUUUCUGCUCUUCUAGUAUUGUUUUCACCUAGUUGGUUUUUUUGCCUGUUUGUUUGUUUGUUUGUUUUUUACUUCUCAACCCUCAAUGAUUUCUUCACUCAAGUUUCUAACUUCUCUAUUUCUAUUCCUUACUUUUCUUGCUGCUAACAUGCUUCCCUCAUAUACCCAGUGCAGCGAUAUUCUGCACUGCUUCCACAACUGCCUUUCAUUCCUACCACUGAGCAUGAAUACAGGCUCGUGUUUCCUACUUUUCUCCUGAGGAGGGAACCAUCUCAGGAGUUGAGCAAGCUGUCCAUCUUACAGAUCUCCUUCACACUAAAGAGCUUCUCUCUGCUAGAGAAAAGGCUCUCUGGGAUAAGGCUGACUGUAACUAUGCAAAGCACUUCUGGAUCUAAUAUAUUUUGCUAAUGGAGGGAGGAAAUGUUAUCUCUGUAUCUUUAACUUGUAUAGCUUUUUUGAUAGUUGUAAAAUAGCUUUAAUUAGACAUAUCAAAUAAGCGUUAUACUUCAUUUUUACAGCAGGUCCUCUGAUUUGUUUUCUUUCGUACCUAAAGCCACCAAACAUGGAGUCAUGUGUUUAAGCCGUGUGAUGAUAAAAGAUUCUGCUUUAGGCCAGCAAGUUUUCUUCCUUCCUCUUGACACAAAAUUGCUUACGCAUGGGAAUCCUAAAACCUUAGAAAACCAGGGAAGGACAGAAGACACAUUUUUGUUCUGUGAUACAGAAACCCCAUAAUUCAAAAUCCUCUCUUUGCUACUCCUCAAAUGUUUUGUAUAAGUUAACUGGGAUAACUUGUACAAUUGCUUUACACACAGAACUAAAGAAAAUAUGCUUAAUUGCCUGUAGGGCUUUAACAAAAACAUGUUCAUCUGUCUUCUGACACUUCCCUAUCAACUGGCUUUGGAUAGCUCUAGUUCCAGCAGUGCUCUAUAAGCAGAUUGUGAUUUGUAAGGACAAAUCAUUAGUAGUCUUUUCAGAAGUCUGGAGAUCUCUCAAAUGCAGAAGUUUUCUUUAUCACAUUCUGUACCAAAACAAACUAUAAAGAGAUGGAGUUCUGUUCUCACAAAAUAUUUAUUUCUGUGAUAAUAAAGAAAUAUGUUUUUUUCUCUUUUUUUCUCUUACCUUGAGUAAGAGGUGUGAGCAGAAUUGCAUUAAUUCAUAGUGAUGCACAUAGCUAGUACUGGGUUAGUUACACAGAACAUGUCCAUAUUUUGUAUACUCCUUAAAUCUUUACAUUAGUUACAAAAAUAAUGUUCAGUGAGUAAAUUACAGUUAAUUGAAAUGAGUCUGGAAUGAGCUGAAUUGCUGCACUGCAGCUUCAGAAAGCAAAUUUACAUCUGCUUCCACUGAACAUUUUCUUUUAUUUUUCCUUUUGUACUUCGUAUUCUUAUCAUGUAUGUAAACUAUACAGGUGUUGAUUAAAAGAUUGCAAGAGAGACAUGGAAAACAUCUUUAUAAACAUACAGAAUAAAAUAGUUUGAGUGGCAAUUUGUGGUUUGUUUUCCAAUUAGGAAUGACAUUUAAUUUUCAGAGUUGAACUGUUUUUAAGAUAACGUUUUGUUGGUGUGUAUGCCUACUACUGUGACUACCGACUGUAAUUUUCAGGAUUUUAGCCACUGUGUUGACUACCUGCUCACAGCUUUAAUGUAUAAGCCUGUACCUACGUGAUGAGUGACACAGUCCCCAAAUUAGUCAUGGUUCCAGUUUUUAUGUACUCACAGGCUAUUGAGGAAGCUGUAGGUUUCAGUUUUUCACUGACUUCACUAGUAUUUGAGGUAGAUCAAAAUUUUUAAACUACUCCAGCUGUGUGAAAUAUCUCACAGAAAUAAGUAAAACUACAUCUGUAUUAUUAACAUCUUGCAAAUAAGGGGCCUGCAGCAAUGGCUACACGUUUAAGUUAACCUGGGACAAACUGACGCUGUCUUCCCAUUUGGCCGAUUGCUCACUCCCAUCAUCUUCCUUGUGCUGGCAAAAGCACUGAGGCUUCCAAGAGGAUGCAGUCAGGUGAGUUUGAGAUCGCAGGCCACCCUCCUGGCAGCAGCAAGCAUUUUGUUACAUACAGCUGGAAGUAUGAUCAUGUAUAAUCAUGACCUGAUUCUGCAAAACUGUCAGUUCAAGCUUUGCAUCUUGAAAGGCUGCACAUUUUAAUCAUGUUAUAAGAUACUAAGUACAAAACAGGAGGCAUAUGAAGAAAAGUAUCUAUUUUCACUUAAAUAUGAUACAGCUGAUAGUAGUACUGAAGAUAAACAGUGAUAGCGGAAUUAGUAUGCUGUGUUUGUACUUUUUAUGCAAUAUCAAAAGCAGGUGUGCCACAAUGUAAAGGGUGAAGGACAGAGAAGAAGAUGAUUUCCUGUUUUGUUUUCAGAAAGCUAUUGAAUUUGACAUACUUGAAUGUUUUUACAAUGCUUUAGAUAAGCUUAUGGUUUCGUGAGUUAUUCUCUGUCUUUCAGGGCUGGGGCUUUGAACUUUGACAUGUUGUAUCAUAUUAGUGCUUAUUACAGACCACUGUGAUGUUAUUUGGCACAUAAAUAAUCUUUAAUUAUGCUAGAACUUGCAUACAAUCAAAGUUUAUUAUUAGGACUGCAAAAAUAAUCUUUUUUCCUUUAGAAGCUUAAUGCUAUAGUUAAACUUUGUUUUUCAUAAGUUGUAGGGAAAUUUUCCAAAUGAAAUAAAUAGUCAACUGAUCUUUUUAUACUUGCUGUUGAAUAACAAGCAGAUUACUAGUGAAGGGUUUGUUUUAAACUGUAUUUUUAACUUGAUUUUUAUGUGAUAUCAAAGUUGUGUGUACAGGUGCACAUCUAUGUGUGUGAGUAUGCAUGCAUGUUUAUCUUUCUGUUUUCCAUUAAUAACUUUGAGCCCUUAGGCUAAUCCAACCAAAUUAACCUAGGAAUAGAGUUCUAAAAAUAAAUAUGUUCCUACAAGGCUUGGAAAAUAGCCAAGUAAAAGAAGGAAAUCUCAUCAGUUUCCUGAUUAUAGGAAAGGUUGUAUUGUAAGUGCACAUAUUGACACUGGAGAGUCUGCCUACAGAGCAGCCUGCGUAAAGGUCUCAGAUGUGGGAAAAAAGGCAGUUUCUUGGUCAACGCCUAAACUGUAUGGUGCAUGUUGUGACACACUCAACAUUCACACUGUCUUGUUUUAUGUCUUCUUUCUUUGCCAUUCCCAUGAGUAUUUCCAAAUCCUCCAGUCAGAUGCUACUCUUCAUGCUAAAGACAAGUGGCCCUGGAAUACUCAGCUUCAUGAAACUACUUGUUGAAGAGUGUUAAAGGAUACUUCGUGCCUGCAGCCAGCCUGGGUAGCUGUUUAUCACCUGCAAACAGAAGGGCCAGAAGGAAAAGCCUGCUGCAGAAAAUUUUAUCUUGCCCUGCUACCCUGUCUUCCCUCCUUUGCAGUCCCUCUAGAUUUGUGGAAAUGCUCUGUAAUCAGAGAGCUAGCCAAACUAAUCUCAAGAAAAAAUUGCAAAUGCUUGUCUCCUCAUUUUCAAAGGUGAAGUCACAGAUCAAUCUACCUGGGCAAGCUAGUGCUUCACUGCAGUUCACGGCUUACAUGAACCUGAAGUGCACGAAACUCUACAGGAUGUGUUCCACUUGAUAUUUUACAACUUUUUUUCUCAUUAGUUUGAUAUUCCCAUUCAAAAUAUUAUGUGGCAUUAUAAAAGUUUAUCCUGUCUUGUGAGUCUCACAGGUCACAUGUACUUUUGUCAAAGCUCUUAAAUUUACUUAUUCUUACGUGAUCUUGAUUAUCUUUAAAAAAAAGACAUAAGCUCUUUCAUUUUGUGAUUAGCAAUAAAACUUUGAAAAUGUGAUCCAGUAACCAAGAAUCAAAACAAAAUAAAAAAGGAAAAUGCAACAGUAAUCUCAAACUGUAGACCACUGUUAUGAUUUUAACGCGUGAUUUUUAAAGUCCUUGUACUGACCCUGCAUAGCAAUAAUAUAUCUUAACUUGAAGGCAAAAGGAGCCACUCAGAAUCUCCAUAGGAAUGACACCACUGCAGUCUUGUUUUCUUUUCUGUUUGUUUUUAAUUGACUAUGAAAGGUACUCUCCUUUUGGCAUACACUAUAUACCUCCACGAUAAAAAUGUAUCAUAAGUUGUAAUGUGGUCUUUUCUAGCUAUUAUGUAUGCAAAUACAUUCAGAAUGUGUGAUGAAGAACUAACAUAGUCUUCUCUAUUAAGCUAUUUAGAAUAGAAACUGGGAGAUUGCCUUAUUGUAUUUCUUAUUUUAAUUGACAGGCAUUUGGUUUGCAGAAGAUUUUCCAGGUCCUAGAGGGCUCAGAAUACAUCAGAUAUUUACAUAUUUAUGCCUUUUAAAUUAAUUAUGGAGGAUGUUUUGGUAAAUAAUCACCAUCCCUGUUUCAAAAUUUCACUUUAAAGGUAAAUACCAGUCAAAAAUAGGUGAGUCAUUUUGCUUUUUUUUAUUGUCAUCUGCCUAUAUAAGUAUUUUAAUUAUUUUUUUAAUGUAUAUUUUCUAGGAUACUGAUAUUUCUAAACUAGUUUACUGCAGAAACUCAUACAAAAGACCACUGAUAUAUAAGUUAAGGUUCAGUUCAAAACCUCAAGUUUCUUUGAAUAUGUUCCACAGUGUGAUCAUAAAGACAUGAAAACUUCAGUGUUAUAACUGAAUAUGCCUCUACUUAAAUUCAAAGGCUAAAAUUCACUAUGGCAAAAAGAGGCUUUAUUGAAGAUACAGCUUCUUUCUAUUUCACUAAAUGUAUGAGGUUUCAAAAUAAAAUGUUAUAGGGCCAUAAAACAAAAUGUAACAUUCUUCAUGCCUUUUGUUUUAUUUUUGCCUUCGGAAGUACCAUUAGUAAUGUCCCUCUUCUCUGUGUGUCAUUUUUUUCCACUAAACUUGAGGACACACACCGGCUGUGAAGCCUCAAUGCCCUUUCUGCAGUUGCUGUUACUAGAUUGCAAGCUACCGGAAGGAGAACAGAACAAUUUCACAACCUUCAUUUUCCGAGGAAAAAACAUGCACAAAAAAUGAGCCAAAAUCAAGUUUAAAAAAGUCAGAUUAUCUUUUGAUUCUCUUCUGCAUUUUCUCAUGCGACUUUAUACAGAAAGCACAAGCAAUUAUGUGCAAGUAGUUCUGCGCAUCUUUUAUUUAAAGCCCUUGCAUUUCAGCAUAGCGAAUUGGCUCACAAAGUGAUACUGGAUUACUUACAUGAUUCUGAAUUAGUAUGAAAGUAGAAGACCAACAAAUACAGAAGAAGAAUAAGCUUCUGAAUCAAUAUUUCCAAUGUGAAGUCAGAUCAUAUUCCCAGUAUUCAGGGAUGACCCUUUAUGUAUAGCUGCAAGGCUGCAAUACAAUAGGCUCUCCAUUUCCACAGUAAUGCAGUCCUUGGAUUUUGAAUGUGGGGUGUCAGCAGAGAGCAUUUCAAUUGUGAAGUUUAUUCUACAUGCCUCUGUCAAUCCAAUUAUAAUUAUGUUUAUUCAUGAAAAUCUGUAGCGGUUUCUACAGCUCUCCCAACCUUCUAACAUUAGUGCAGAAAUACCUUAAGAUUUGUCAUUUUGCCAACUUUAUAACAAUCUAUCUGAAUUUCCUUUCUUAAUCACAUUGUCUUCUUUCACUUCCCCAUAUCAACCUAGUAGACCUAACUGUUGCUUUAUAUCUUCCACAGGGAUGGCUCUACAUUCAUGCUUAGCUUAAAACCUGACUAAAAAUUAAAAAUACGAUUCUGAGGAAGCUAGUAAUAGAUGCAUGCCUUUACAACGUUAUUUAAAAUUCAGAAAGUGUAGCUAUUAGAGUUGCUAUCAAACAGACAACAAUAACAAAAUAGCACUAUCAUUAUAAACUUUGGGACAAAAUGUUUUCAAGAGGAUUGUUUGGUACAAGGCCUCUUUGCCUGAACAUUGCAUUCUCUGCUGCAAGGCAGAUAAUACCUUACAGGGAAGAAGUGACACAAUAUUUGCCCUGCUAGUCUUACUAAUGUUUACAAAUAAAUAUCUACAUACAAUUGUCUUUUUAGAGUAGUUUUCUUCCUGAGAGGAUAUCAAAGGACUUUUUGUUCUUUAUCCUAUCAGUUAAGCCUUUCAAGGCAAUAUUUUUGAGUUACUUUUUUUCAGCAAGAUAACUGUAAUUCUUUAACCAGGGCAGUUCUCCUGGCGAAUGCAGACAUACUCCAUAUCUAGGCCUUGAGUGCAAUAAGAGGCUGCAAUUGCCAGGAGAGGUCUCACCUGGGACCUUUACCUACAUAGCUGCUGCUGGUCCAGGCCCUCCAUUCAAGUUCUAGCUGAGGCCAUUAAAUCUCUUUGCCUGAGUUAUGUUGCAAGUGCACUGGUUUUCAGUUCUAUAUGUUGAGGUUUUAUUUUUUUUCUCCUGUUUUUGCUCUGCCUGCCUUGUAGUGAAUUGGUUGGACCAUGCCUUGUAGGUGAAGUAGUGCCUGUGUUGUGCUCAUCCACAGCUUCCUGGCUCAUUGCAUAGCCCUGCUAUCACUGCUUCUUAACUUUUUAUGGCUCACUCUGCUGACUGUAACUUCCUGGCUUGCAUUUUUUCUUUCUUAGAAUACAAAAUCCAUCCACAAAAGGAAAAGGUGUUAAACCUUCCUCUUAGGCUUCAUUAUACCACUUAAAAAUAGGAAGAGGGGGCAUGCUUCUAAUUUGGGAAGAGCAUUGUGAGUUUUCUGCUUACUUAAGAAGUUGCUGAUACACAUAGAAAUCUUAGUAGACUUAGCCAGUAACUUUUCUUUCCUUACUUACUAAUGAUUACUCAUAUAUUUAUUUCAGUAUCAGUUUAAUAUACUGUUUCUUUUUUCAAGCCUAUUACUAUAUAUUGAACAAACUGGAAAGUAUUUUGCAGUGGAGUGAUUGCAUAAUGUACAGCUUCUAUAUGCCAGAAACAACAAGUGUUCAUUUUGGCCUGCUGACUUCAUUAAGUGUGUAUAACACUAAAAGAAAAAUGUGGCAUAAUGUUGUUCCGUCUCUUACUUGAAACUUAACUCGUUUACCAUUAACUGUACUAGAUGCAGAGUUAUGCCAAAAUCAUCAGUUCUCUCUGCAUGCUACCAACCCAUUUCUCUUGAAGUUCUCUUGCUUGACACUUCAGAUUAGAGCUAAUAAAACAAUUUCUCUCUGUAGAAGUGUGUGACAAAUUUAUUGCAUGAUCUAAAUUACCACAGCAGCUGUGGGGAGAAGGAAGCAAUGUGAGUAAAGCAAGCAAGACCAUGGCUUGCUGGAAAAAUCGAGGGUACUGGAUGAUUCCUUGUAUUUUGAAAUGUCUUGGGUGUUUUGUCACCCAUUGACGGAUGAAAUUAGUUUUAUACUGGGGCUAUGAUUUGUAGUACUGAUCUUUUUAUGUUCUGCAAGAAGUGCUGGAGAACACAGUGUAAACUUUUAUUGUGGAAUAUGCUAGAACAUAAGACGAAUUUAUCACUUUGGGAAAGCAAAUGAAAUUGCUGAGCCUAAUUUACUCGGAGGGUGGUGGGGCACUGGUGCAGGCUGACUAGAUAAGCUGUAGAUACGCCACCAAGAAUUCAAGGCCAGGUUGGAUGGGGCCCUGGGCAGCUUGAUCUGGAGGAUGGAAACCCUCCCCAUGGCAGAGGAGUUGGAACUAGAUGGUCUUUAAGUCCGCUCCAACCUAAGACAAUCUGUGAUUCUAUGAAUCGUUGAUGUGACAGAGGGUGGAGUUCUACUUCCUGAAGAAGGGCUCUGUAGAUGUCAAAGAUAAUCCCUGUCACAGAUGGAUCACUCUAGUGUGAAACUUAAAGGUUAAAAGACCUGGAAAAGGACUUUUAAGACCUGAAAGGAAUGCUUUCAUGCGGAACAGCUGAGAACUGCAGCUGAAUGUCCAAGAAUUAUAAUUUAAAAGGUGUUUUACACAUCCCUCUCCAGGGAAUGGUGUAACUCCGUAUAGUAAUCUUUUAAUUGUUUGCUUUGUGUACAGCAAUUCUGAACCUGUGAAAUGCCAGGCAAGAACUGGGAAAAAUGAUUGCUCUGUUUCUCAGAAAACUAGCUUAAUUGUUGCUAAACACUGUCCUCAAUGGCUUGGUUCCAUUCUCCAACCCAGACGGGCCCAUGGCCUUUGCUAGCACCCCUGGGUGGUGUGCAUCAGCAGGACUGCUGCCCUGGAGCAAGCUGCCCAGCCUUCCCUCUGCCUCCUGGGUCUCUGCACUCCACGCCUCUCCUCCUCCAGGUCAGGGCAGCUCAGGAGUGUAAAGUCAGGAACACUUUACUCAUUGGUGCAUGGAGAAACAAAGCUUGAUUUUGCUUAUUAAGUUACAUAUAAGAACUUCUGUCCUUGAGCAAGGAUUCUGUCCAAGCUAAUCCUAAUUUUUAUUUGUCUUUGAAACAUGUUAGAAUUUCUGAAGGUUUCAAAGUAACGUGUGGCUAUAUAUAUUUAGGUUUUGUUUCCUUCACUGUAGUCUUUGUCUCUGAGCCCUUCAGUGACACCUGAAAUAAGAGCAGGUUAUUAACUGCUGUUAUAGUUUAGCUCUGCAAUUAGACUUUCAAACUGCAAUACAGAGGAUUUCUGCAGCCAAAAACGUAGUCACUGAACAAGCAUUUCUGUUCAGUGCAGCAUUGUCUCAAAUGUCACUCUCAUGAUAUCAUUCUUCCUAGAUGAAAUUGGCAAAGUGUAUACCUUGUGAAUCAACUCACAGCUUACAACUUUGACAGCUUAAAUGCUGUCAAAUUUAAGAUAAUGGUAGUUUUGUUGGUAUUUUUUAUUUUAUUUCCCUUUUAUUCCUUAUAUAUGACUUGCAAGAAAUGUUUAAUGGCAUUUUGUCCAUAUCUGAUAGCUAAAUAAGCAGCAAAGCAUGGAUUGUAUUUAGCAGGAAAAGGCAGGGAUAUUUCAACAUUUCUUUUCUCAAAUAGGACUCAAUUUCAAAAUUUCACAGACUGAGGAGGUAAUAGGUUUUGUUUCCCCACAUUUAGAAUUGAGUCAUUAGAAUUUGCAAGAUAUUUUACAUCUUGAAGGUGCUCAGGUUACUUAUUGACCAAAAUCUGCCUGGGCUACUGGUAGAUUUGGAACCCAACUUCUGCUAGUUUUUCGUUGUUUUGUUUUAAAUGAAGAUUACCAGAGAAAAAAUGAUAUUCUGUAGGGAUUCAGUUGUCCGAAGAAAAAAAAUAUGCUUUUCCACUGUGCUUUUCAGUACUUUGAUAGCCGUCUGUCACUGGAGUUAAGUAUAGAAGUGUACAAGUACUUGAAGAAACAUGUCUGCAAAUACUGCAGAUGAAAGUAAUUCUGCAGUUGAGAUCUUGAUGCAGACCAGCUUCGAGGGAAGAAUCACGCAUUAUGGAUAGUCCAGGUGUUCAACCUAGUUGUCCUAGGAAUCUGGGUCCUUCAGGACUAACUGCUGUGGUGUAACUGAGUAAGGCAUGAGCUUGAACCCCAUGUAGACUAUCUACAAAGAUAUUAUAUAUUCAUAAGCUUUCAGAAAAUAUCACAUACAAUGUUCCUUUCAUAUAGUACUGAUUAUGAUAGAAUUCUGAAUAUAUACAGGGUAUACUCAGAAGGAAGAAUAGAAUCCUUUAAUCACCGGAGACAAGAAAUAUUCCUUCUAAUAAUACCUAAAAAUACUACCGAUACUAAAAAUUGUACUAAUGAUACUGAAAAUACUAUUGAUAAUGAAACCCAGGAAACACUUCCAGUGUGAAAAAGAUUAUCUGCUGGCACGUGUCCGCAUCUGUUCAGUGUUACCAAAUUAAUACAAAACUAAAAGGACUGGAAGGAAAGGAAGGCAUAUGAGGAAGGCAGGAAAAGCUUAAAAGCAGGGUAGGCUUAAGUUAGGGAAGCCAUUUACUUUUACUGUGUAACUACAGCUUGAUAAACAAUAAUUAUUUGAUGUAAACUGACCUGCACAGUUUUCUUGUACCAUGGGAACUCAAUACUUCAGCUGUGAAAGUAGAUACAACUUUUUUAACAUCUGAUAGCUUGUAGUGAACUCUGUAUACUUUUUUACUGCUUUAAUAUUGAUGAUGUCAAUUCUUCACAAGCCACGAUCAUGGAUGUAGCAACAGUAAGAGCAUGUUUUCUGCAAGGACUUACGCAGUGCUGGUGACAGACAUAAUGCUGCAUAACAGCUUUAUAAGGGGAACUAACAUGAUUAUAACAAGUCAGAUACUGUAUGAAAUAGAGUUUAUAGGUGGCAUUAAGUUCUACUGUAAGCUAUUACAGAGGAGAGAGACCGUACUUCCAACAUAUAGUGGCUGUACAGUAGAUAUGCACAAAUGAGCCUACUUUAAAGUAGUGAAUAUCUAUCCAACUAUAAAAAGAAACUCCCUUUGGUUUAAGUUUCACUGUUGGAAGGGAGAAUAUACAAUUCUGGUCAGAAUUAUAGGUGUUAAGGAGAGUAGUACAAACAGCCAAAAAAGCUUAGCACACUUCAGGAGAAGCUGGAGAAAAAAAAAUGUAUUUGAGAAAGGGAUAAUAUUAUCCAGUCUGUGUAGCUUAUGCCUACUGGAAAUUUAGAGCAAGGCUGUUAGAUGGUUCUGCAGUACUAACAUGAAAGCUUCUGAAUGAAUGUUUUUUAUUUUUUCUUUGAAAAAAACGAUGUCUUAUAUAGCAAUACAAUAGACAUUCUUUUAUAUGAAGAAAAUGUUUUCACUAACAUAAAUGAUUCUUGAACGUCAACUUGCAUGGUGAGUAGAAGGCCAAAUUCAGUAAGUACGAGUAUAAAAUUAAUCCCUAAGAGAUUCAUUCUUUUAAAAAAAAAAA